rnacentral:tRNA from 1 species
GGGAAUGUGGCUCAGGUGGUAGAGCGCUCGCCUGGCAUGCGUGCGGCCCGGGUUCAAUUCUCAGCACCA